AGUGGAAUAGCUGGGUCAAAUGGUGGUUCCCCAAGUUUUUGAGGAAUCUCCAUACUGCUUUCCAGAGUGGCUGCACCAAUUUGCAGUCCCACCAGCAAU
rnacentral:pre_miRNA from 1 species